rnacentral:lncRNA from 1 species
AAUUAAUGUAAUUAACAAAGAUGAUGAAGAAAGUUCUUUGCUAAUUGACCUAAUCAGUAAAAUCACUGAUCCUAAAUUAAAGGCUCAGUAUACGAAGCAGUUAAAAGAUUUAUUGACUAAAGAUAAUAGAGAUAAUGAUAGGUUUAUUAGAGCUAAAGAAAAACCAAUUUUUAGCCUUAAUAAAACCCUUGAAAGAUUUAAAUCUCCAGUGAAAGAAGUUACUCUCCCAGAAUUAAAUCAAGAAGUUAAUAAGCUCAAGAGAGAA